AGGGGAGAGACCAGAACUUUUGGGUUCAGACUUCAUCUUAGAGAACCUGACAUUAGGUUGACCUAACAGGCCCGUACAUAGCACCAGUUUCCAGGCACAAGAAAUCUACACCUCCAGGUUACAAGGCUACCCUUGACGUUUUACUUCCUAACAACCACCAAUCAGGAGGAAAACAGAAGUUAAGUUUAUGGUUUGUCUCCCAGCACCAGCCAAUACGGAAAAUAGAAUCUUCAGCUCCUAGCCCUUCAGCCUUAAAUGCAGAUCCUAUCACCAUCCCAUGGCUCUCAGGCCUGGAAAUCUGCCCACAGGCUUGACCUGCCUUGACUCUGCCUGAGAGUGGUUUGGUGGUGGUGGACUGUGGGACUUGGGAGAUUGGUGGUCGGAUUGAAAUUGGAGGUCGGUGAUUGGAUUGGAUUUGGAUUUGGUGACUGGAGUUUGACAUUGAUCAUCAGCUACACUUACACCCACAGGGUGUUGUGCUACUCUUGCCCCCAUCCCGUGUAUAUACUGGGGCAGCUUAUAUCCAUUGCCUUUCUGGGUAAGGCUACCUUGAUCAAGUGCAGCCUUUCACUCAGUGCUUCCCUUCAUAAUGGAUGUCUUAGUUUCUGGGAACCCAGAUGAAGAUGAGCAAAUUGUGAUGAAGUCAAGGGAGCUUGAGUCCAGUGGCCACGAAGGGAACACUCUGAUAGAGGAUUACUACAUACUGGGCACCCUAGGGCAAGGGUCCUUUGCUCAAGUCAAGGUUGCUCUCCACCUUAUGACCCAGACUCUGGUAGCUAUCAAGAUAUUGAAAAGGGGCACAAGAAAAGACUUCUUAGUAAUCUCUGAGAUUGACCUCAUGACAUCACUAUACCAUAAUCAUAUAAUAAGGCUUCUCCAGGUCAUUGACACCAAGCACAAAACUUUCCUUGUGAUGGAAUACGCAGCCCAGGGAUCCCUGCGGAAACUUGUCAACAAGCGUGGGCCUCUGGAUGAGGAAGAGGCACGCAGCAUAUUUAGGGAGUUGUGCUUGGCCGUCAACUAUAUUCACAGUCAGAAUAUUGCCCACCGUGACAUCAAGGCGGAGAAUGUCCUAUUAGAUUGGGAGGGGCAUGUGAAGCUUUCUGACUUUGGUUUAAGCAAAAGACUGACCUCUGGGGAAAAAGCCAAGGGCUUUUGUGGCACGGCACAAUAUUGCGCUCCUGAAGUGUUCGGUCACACACAAUAUGAUAUGCUCCCCGCCGAUAUAUGGAGCAUGGGAAUUUUAUUAUAUUACUUAGUUAUCGGAAAUCUCCCAUUUAAGGGUACAGUGCACAGCAAGAUAAAGUAUCAAAUACUAUCCCGGAGCUGGUGGAUACCAUAUCACCUCUCUCCACAGCUCCAAAAUCUAUUGAGAAGAUUAAUGACAAUAGAGCCCACAAUGAGACCAUCUAUAACAGAAAUAUUGGCCCACCCUUGGCUGCGCCAUGAUCAAGAGACAUUGAGCUCCUCAGGGGAAAUCCCUAGAUAUCCUGAGUCCAACAUUGCUUUUACCAUGUUCCUAAUGGGAUUCAACAUUCAAGAGCUCAGAGAUGCUUUGAGGGAAAGGAAAUAUAAUGAGGCCAUGGCUACAUAUCUUAUUUUAAAAAAGAAAUCACCCUGGCAGCCCCAAUUUUAUCAUGAUGGAGGGCACAGUAGUACACUGGACCGUAGAGAAGCUACCAACCAUUUGUGGCCUAUAAGGAGAGUAGUAAGUGCCCCUAACCUUCCCAUGUUCACUUUGCACACACACUCUGAGGUGCGUGGAGAUGGGAUAAGAGUCUGUAAGAGGAGGCACAGUUCACUUCCUACCCUUUCUUUACUUAAGGGUAGCUUCCUGGAAAACACUUCCCCACUGCAGGUGCUUAUGCCUCAUUUCAGAAAGGGGAAAUUCAGAAAGAAGGAGGGCAGCAUUGAUUCUAGAACUUCAUCUUCAAGAAAAGGAGAGUCAACAACAGCUACAAGAACAACAACAACGUCAACAACAAUGCCAAUAACUACCACUGCAUCAGAAACCACUUCCUCACUGUUCACAUCAUCGCAAAUCUCAACCUUUGAAAGCAGGCAACAUUCGGUCAAUGAGAGCUCUGAGUAUCCAGACACAAGUAGCAGCACAUCCUCUUGGGUGUCCACAAACAGCAGCCCCUUCCCCAGUAAGAAGAUCCAGGAAGAGAAUACCACAUCGUCUUCCAUAGACACAACUCAGGAGAAGAAACUCAGAAUGCAGUGCCAGGGUGUACCCAGAGUCCCUCUGAGAAGGUCGGGAUGGAAGGGCCUGAAGAAGAGGAUUGGCAAAGCCCUAAGAACCUUGUGUUGUUGCAUCCCAGUGACAAAUAACAAAAUCAUGGCAGCCAAUGAAGAGUGCUGCAGAGAUUCAGGCUAAGACAAAGUUCCACCCUGGGCUGCAGUCCCGGAAUAGCUAUGGCCCAGUACAGUGCUUUUCAUAGCACUCAGAAGCCCCUGGAAGAAACAUCCAUGCAGUACUGGUAAUUAGCAAGAAAACGGAGAAGAAACACGAGACUCCAAAGAACCUUCAAGCACAGUGAGAGUGUCAGCCCUGCUGCCUGUCUCCUGGUGUACUUGUGAGCUGAGGAGACAGUGGUCCUGGAGGCACUCAGAGGACUAUGUUCCAUGUCUCCAAGAGAUCUGUGUGAACUGGUUACAGGCAGCAACAGAACUGAGAAGCAGCGAAAGCACAUCUGGAGCAGAGAAGAGAAUUCAGAGGGUGCAGAGACCGCUCAGCCACACAGCUCUGCUGCAGUCCUCCAUAGCACAGUCACGACGAGAUGGAUCCUGAAGCCCUCACAAAUCUACCAGCUCUAGUCACUUAUUUUAUAUGGUGCACUCAAAUUUGAGUCAUUUGAUAGGUAUUCUUUACAUUCUAUACACAUACACGCACACACACAUACAUACACACACCACACACACAUACACACAUACAUACACACACAUACACAAACACACACAUACACACAUACACGCACACACACAUACAUACACACACCACACACACAUACACACAUACAUACACACACAUACACAAACACACACACACACACACACACACACACACACACACACACAAAAAUGAGUUUUAUUUGAAAUGGAGAGAAUCCCCAUUCCAAACCAGGUAAUUUCAUAUUGAGUGAUUCUGCCUUCUGGAAACAUUUCUCCAAAUCAGCUUUCUCUUUUCUCCACUCCCUUCUGACACUUUAACUACCUAUUGUACUGCUUUCUAGGAGUCAUCGGAAGCCAGUAUGGGUCUUGUUCCCCACUUUGGGCAAGGGUACCUAGCCAUGUGCUAAGUGAGGCUUACCUAUGGUCUGUCUUUUGAGGCGAUCCAAGGUGAGGUCUGAAGUGCUUGAGUCCAGAGAAGGUGCUGGUAAGAAAUAUUGCGAGAUGGGGUGGGGCAGGGAUAUGUUGAUGGUAAAACAGAUGAGAUCCCCUGAUAUGACAGUGUGGGGUUUCCUCUGAUUGGCCCAUGGUGACUUGCCCCAUUUCCACCAAGUACAAAGACACAGGGACCGCCAAGUGUGUUAAGGAGGAACUGGAUUUCUCUAUCCUCUGACCCCACUCUCUAUUGCAAACUAUUAGUUGUAUAUUGAUCAUUGCUACCACAGAACUUACUCUUGGCAUGCUCAGAUCCUUGCUACCUCUGUCACCCCUACUGCUGCUGCUUCUGCUUCUGCUUCUGGUGCAUCUGCUUCAUUGUUUUGUCCAUUGCAGGCUGGGAAGGGCCAGGAGCUUCUGGAACCAAUAAGUGAGCAUUCCAAAGCCUCAUGCUCAGGAAACUGCAGAAAACACCAGUAAUGUCAGUCAACACAGAAUAACCCUUACAGCCAGCAGCACCUGCAAGGACUUGGGAAAGGCUAUACCUUUUUGAGCAAAGAAAACCUGGGUGGAAGAGAGGCACACAGUUGGCGCUUCUUGGCUCAGGCCAUAUGGGAAGGGACAGUCAUUUACAGAUUCACAACUGGCCUUUUCUAAUUCUUUGAAAAACUCCUUAUUUUCAGAUCUCUUUCAGAGAAGAGGCUCCUGUUGAUUGAUACAGAUGUGGGGCAAAGGCAGACCCACAAGUGCAUGGGUCAAGAAGUACAAGAAAAGAAAGAUAUGUUCUGAUUCCAGGAGCAUAUAGCACCUUAUCCUGACCAGGGUGGUGAGAGAACACUAUCUGAGGCAGCUUGAAGAACUUCCUCACUGGGAACAGUUCCUUUCUGUUCUGGCAAGAUCCAAGUGACCAGGGUCCCAGAAAGCCCUUUUUUCGCAUUCAAAUUCAGUGGUCAGCCCUUGGCACUAACCGGCCUGUCCUAGCGUUAGCACAGUGCAUCACUGCGUCUUCUGUGAUGCUGUGUUCAGCUGCUUCUGGUGAUUCACUCUAGACUUUACAUCAUGUCCCAGUGGCUACUUCUGAGUCCUGCUUGCUGGGACUCCUGCCUGAGGACAUUUCUCUGGCAAUGCCCCGCGUCACAAACGUGUGAAAUGUUUGCCUGGGGAAAACACACAGAACGAAAUGUGAUGCCAGAGCUUACUGCUGUUUUGUCACACGAGUGUUUUCGACUAAGAUAAGCCAACUUCCCAGAUUCCCAGAGAGAUUAUUUCUUCUGCUGCCGAAAGAAUACCAGGAUGUAGCAGUGGAAAUAGAGAACUUCAACAGUAAACUUGGAUUGGGAAGUCCUAACCUGUAUCUACCUCACCAGUUUCUUCGUCGUAGUGUGUCCUGGCAUGCUGGGAGCUCACGUCUUCUGUAAACUCUUGGCAUCUUGGAGUGUGGAGCUUCGAUGAUCUGGGAGCUGGAUAUGGAUGAAGAACCUAGGGAGAGGGGACAGAAAAGGUGUCCCGACUUAAGAACAACCAAAAGGAAGUUCUUUCAGUCACUUGAGUAAAUAUCUCCGCUGAAAGAGUUCAAGAGAUAAGUUAACCGAAGGACAGUUGUCUCUGUUUAUGCAUGCUUUGGAGAUGAUUUGAAGGUAUACUACACAUGGAUCUAAGUUGGUGAAACUGAGGCCCAGAGACAGAUACAAUUUUCCUAAGUCAUUGUGACUAUUCCAGCAGCACAUUGGCCAGACAAGCUUUUUAUAGUAGGAGCACAGCUCUGUAAUGAGAACCAACUGGAAAAGAACUACACAACAACUUGCUGCUGUGCCAAGCUCACAUUAUCAUGCUUAUUACUCAUUUAUAUUUAGUCCUCUUAUGGAGACCCUGCAGCAGCGUGACAGAGGACUGUGAUGCUCCCAGGUGAUCUGUCUGGAACAGACAUCACUGUGUCUGGGACAUAGAGAAAAGGGGAUGAGUUACAGAUCCCUGCAGAGUACACACACAGGGACUUUUGGCUGUGCUCAUAUGGACCAUAGAUAUGGUCGAAGAAUAGAGUACUGUGAGAAGACUUCUCAGUGCUUGUGAGAAUAUUCCUAAAAAUCCAGACAUUGGCCUUGUGACCAAAGUUUCCUCAAAAUACCAAAUUGUCCAUGGACUGUGUUUUCAUGCUCCUCCCUGGUGUCUUGGAUAGAGGUCACAGUGCUGAUUUGUCCCUGCCCUUAAUCUGCCUGUUGGGAUUACAGUGAUUCUGGAAGAAUUACAGCACUUUUUAUGUGAUGCUGACUUUCAGGGUUAAUUUAAUAAAAAUUUGUUCUCUAA